AUAACAGUGAGAAAUCAUUGCUAAUACCGCAUAUGCCAUAGACAUCACAUGAUGAAAGUGGGAAAGGAGCAAUCCGCUGAUAGAUGGGCUCGCGUCUGAUUAGAUAGUUGGUGGGGUAACGGCCUACCAAGUCGACGAUCAGUAGCCGGACUGAGAGGUUGAACGGCCACAUUGGGACUGAGAUACGGCCCAGACUCCUACGGGAGGCAGCAGUCGGGAAUAUUGCGCAAUGGAGGAAACUCUGACGCAGUGACGCCGCGUAUAGGAAGAAGGUUUUCGGAUUGUAAACUAUUGUCGUUAGGGAAGAUAAAAGACAGUACCUAAGGAGGAAGCUCCGGCUAACUACGUGCCAGCAGCCGCGGUAAUACGUAGGGAGCAAGCGUUAUCCGGAUUUAUUGGGUGUAAAGGGUGCGUAGACGGGAAAUUAAGUUAGUUGUGAAAUCCCUCGGCUCAACUGAGGAACUGCAACUAAAACUGAUUUUCUUGAGUGUUGGAGAGGAAAGUGGAAUUCCUAGUGUAGCGGUGAAAUGCGUAGAUAUUAGGAGGAACACCAGUGGCGAAGGCGACUUUCUAGACAAUAACUGACGUUGAGGCACGAAAGUGUGGGGAGCAAACAGGAUUAGAUACCCUGGUAGUCCACACCGU
rnacentral:rRNA from 1 species